UUUAAUUUUUGACUCUUCGUCUUAUUCAAAAUUUUUUUGCAAUUGAUAUUUUUAUUUUUAUUAGAUGAUAAAUCAUGAAUAGUAUUUUACGUGUGACUAAUUUUUUUUCUAAUUUUUUAAAUUUAUUUAAAUGAAACGAAUGAUCAACACACGUUGGACACGAAAAUCGGAG
rnacentral:pre_miRNA from 1 species